rnacentral:tRNA from 2 species
GGGCAUAUAGCUCAGUUGGUUAGAGCACAGCUCUUAUAAAGCUGGGGUCGAUGGUUCAAGUCCAUCUAUGCCCACCA